rnacentral:rRNA from 1 species
AAUGAACGCUGGCGGCAGGCCUAAUACAUGCAAGUCGAGCGAGGACUUCGGUCCUAGCGGCGGACGGGUGAGUAACGCGUGGGAACGUGACCUUUGCUUUGGCAUAGCUCUGGGAAACUGGGAGUAAUACCGGAUGAGCCCUUUGGGGGAAAGAUUUAUUGGCGAAGGAUCGGCCAGCGUUGGAUUAGGUAGUUGGUGGGGUAAUGGCCUACUAAGCCGACGAUCCAUAGCUGGUUUGAGAGGAUGAUCAGCAACACUGAGACUGAGACACGGCCCAGACUCCUACGGGAGGCAGCAGUGGGGAAUCUUAGACAAUGGGGGGAGCCCUGAUCUAGCCAUGCCGCGUGAGCGAUGAAAGCCUUAAAGUUGUAAAGCUCUUUCAGCUGGGAAGAUAAUGACGGUACCAGCAGAAAAAGCCCCGGCUAACUCCGUG